rnacentral:rRNA from 1 species
AUUGAACGCUGGCGGCCGGCCUAACACAUGCAAGUCGAGCGAGCGGCGGACGGGUGAGUAAUGUCUGGGAACCUGCCUGAUGGAGGGGGCUAACUACUGGAAACGGUAGCUAAUACCGCAUACCAUCAGAUGUGCCCAGAUGGGAGUAGCUAGUAGGGGGGGGAACGGCUCACCUCGGCGACGAUCCCUAGCUGGUCGGAGAGGAUGACCGGCCACACUGGAACUGAGACACGGUCCAGACUCCGACGGGAGGCAGCAGUGGGGAAUAUUGCACAAUGGGCGCAAGCCUGAUGCAGCCAUGCCGCGUGUGUGAAGAAGGCCGUCGGGUCGUAAAGCACUUUCAGCGGGGAGGCGUUAGCAGCAGAAGAGGCACCGGCUAACUCCGUGCCAGCAGCCGCGGUAAUUC